rnacentral:rRNA from 1 species
AUGGCGGCCGAGCCCGAGAUCUGCGUGCUCUCCAAUGGCAGGAUCACAGCGAACAUCGCCAGCUGGGGCGCCACUAUCACCUCCCUCCUCGUCCCCGACGCGCAAGGGGAUCUCGCGGAUGUCGUUCUUGGGUUCGACACACUGGAGCCGUACUUGAAAGGCAUGGCACCUUAUUUUGGUUGCAUAGUUGGCCGAGUUGCAAAUAGGAUCAAGAAUGGGAAGUUUGAUCUGAACGGAGUCGAGUAUUCAUUGCCUAUCAACAACGGGCCGAACAGCCUUCAUGGUGGAUUGAAGGGGUUUGACAAGGUUGUGUGGGAUGUUGUAGAGCGUAAAGAAGGCGAGUACCCAUCAAUAACCUUUCAAUAUGAGAGCAAAGAUGGUGAAGAAGGUUACCCUGGCGAUGUAACCGUCCGAGCAGUGUAUUCUCUUCCGGAGGCUACCACUCUAAGACUUGACAUGGAAGCUAUACCAGCUAACAAAGCCACUCCUAUCAGCUUGGCACAGCAUACUUACUGGAACCUUGCAGGCCACAACUCUGGCAGCAUCUUGGAUCAUUCGAUCCAGAUCUGGGCAAAACACGUUACUCCAGUCAAUGAAAACACGAUUCCUACCGGAGAAAUAAUGCCCGUCCAGGACACGCCUUUCGAUUUCACCACGGAGCACAGGAUUGGAGAGCGCAUCAACAAUGUUCCUGGAGGGUACGACCAUAACUAUGUGCUGGACUCUGGCGAUGAGAAGAAUGGCCUGAAGCACGCAGCCAAGCUAAAGGACCCAUCGAGCUCACGAACUCUGGACCUCUGGACCGAUGCGCCUGGCAUGCAGUUCUAUACUGCCAACUAUGUGAAUGGCAUCACAGGCAAAGGCGGAGCUGUUUACGGGAAGCAUGCCGGAGUAUGCUUGGAAACCCAGGGGUUCCCCAAUGCCAUCAACCAGCCCAAUUUCCCGUCUGUGGUGGUGCAGCCUGGUGCGAAGUAUAAGCACACCAUGUUGUUUGAGUUCUCGGCAUGA